UAAUGUAGACAGAGAUGACCUUAAUGA
rnacentral:piRNA from 1 species